rnacentral:rRNA from 1 species
UACGAAGGGGGCUAGCGUUGUUCGGAAUUACUGGGCGUAAAGGGUGCGUAGGCGGGUUUUUAAGUCAGGGGUGAAAUCCUGGAGCUCAACUCCAGAACUGCCUUUGAUACUGAAGAUCUUGAGUCCGGGAGAGGUGAGUGGAACUGCGAGUGUAGAGGUGAAAUUCGUAGAUAUUCGCAAGAACACCAGUGGCGAAGGCGGCUCACUGGCCCGAUACUGACGCUGAGGCACGAAAGCGUGGGGAGCAAACAGG